rnacentral:tRNA from 1 species
GCGGGUGUCGCCAAGUGGUAAGGCACCAGCUUCCCAAGCUGGCAUUCGACGGUUCGAAUCCGUUCACCCGCU